rnacentral:rRNA from 1 species
UAGCUAGUUGGUGAGGUAAAGGCUUACCAAGGCGACGAUCUGUAGCGGGUCUGAGAGGAUGAUCCGCCACACUGGAACUGAGACACGGUCCAGACUCCUACGGGAGGCAGCAGUGGGGAAUUUUGGACAAUGGGGGCAACCCUGAUCCAGCCAUGCCGCGUGAGUGAAGAAGGCCUUCGGGUUGUAAAGCUCUUUCGGCCGGGAAGAAAUCGCAUGGGCCAAUACCCUGUGUGGAUGACGGUACCGGAAUAAGAAGCACCGGCUAACUACGUGCCAGCAGCCGCGGUAAUACGUAGGGUGCGAGCGUUAACCGGAAUUACUGGGCGUAAAGCGUGCGCAGGCGGUUUUGUAAGACAGGCGUGAAAUCCCCGGGCUUAACCUGGGAACUGCGUUUGUGACUGCAAGGCUAGAGUACGGCAGAGGGGGGUGGAAUUCCACGUGUAGCAGUGAAAUGCGUAGAGAUGUGGAGGAACACCAAUGGCGAAGGCAGCCCCCUGGGUCGAUACUGACGCUCAUGCACGAAAGCGUGGGUAGCAAACAGGAUUAGAUACCCUGGUAGUCCACGCCCUAAACUAUGUCAACUAGGUGUUGGGUGGGUAAAACCAUUUAGUACCGUAGCUAACGCGUGAAGUUGACCGCCUGGGGAGUACGGCCGCAAGGUUAAAACUCAAAGGAAUUGACGGGGACCCGCACAAGCGGUGGAUGAUGUGGAUUAAUUCGAUGCAACGCGAAAAACCUUACCUACCCUUGACAUGCCAGGAACUUGCCAGAGAUGGCUUGGUGCCCGAAAGGGAGCCUGGACACAGGUGCUGCAUGGCUGUCGUCAGCUCGUGUCGUGAGAUGUUGGGUUAAGUCCCGCAACGAGCGCAACCCUUGUCGUUAAUUGCCAUCAUUUAGUUGGGCACUUUAACGAGACUGCCGGUGACAAACCGGAGGAAGGUGGGGAUGACGUCAAGUCCUCAUGGCCCUUAUGGGUAGGGCUUCACACGUCAUACAAUGGUCGGUACAAAGGGUUGCCAAGCCGCGAGGCGGAGCCAAUCCCAAAAGCCGAUCGUAGUCCGGAUUGCAGGCUGCAACUCGCCUGCAUGAAGUCGGAAUCGCUAGUAAUCGUGGAUCAGCAUGUCACGGUGAAUACGUUCCCGGGUCUUGUACACACCGCCCGUCACACCAUGGGAGCGGGUUCCGCCAGAAGUAGGUAGCCUAACCGCAAGGGGGGCGCUUACCACGGCGGGGUUCGUGACUGGGGUGAAGUCGUAACAAGGUAGCCGUAGGGGAACCUGCGGCUG